GACGAACGCUGGCGGCGUGCUUAACACAUGCAAGUCGAACGGAAAGGCCCUGCUUUUGUGGGGUGCUCGAGUGGCGAACGGGUGAGUAACACGUGAGCAACCUGCCCUUGACUUUGGGAUAACUUCAGGAAACUGGGGCUAAUACCGGAUAGGAGCUCCUGCUGCAUGGUGGGGGUUGGAAAGUUUCGGCGGUUGGGGAUGGACGCGCGGCUUAUCAGCUUGUUGGUGGGGUAGUGGCUUACCCAGGCUUUGACGGGUAGCCGGCCUGAGAGGGUGACCGGCCACAUUGGGACUGAGAGACGGCCCAGACUCCUACGGGAGGCAGCAGUGGGAAAUAUUGCACAAUGGGCGGGAGCCUGAUGCAGCAACGCCGCGUGCGGGAUGACGGCCUUCGGGUUGUAAACCGCUUUCGCCUGUGACGAAGCGUGAGUGACGGUAAUGGGUAAAGAAGCACCGGCUAACUACGUG
rnacentral:rRNA from 1 species